CUGCUGCCUUCCGUAGGAGUCUGGGCCGUGUCUCAGUCCCAGUCUGGAUGAUCAUCCUCUCAAACCAUCUAACGAUCGUCGACUUGGUGAGCCUUUUACCUCACCAACUAUCUAAUCGUACGCAGGCCAUUCCUAAAGCGCAUAAAUGCUUUAAUCCGAAGAUCAUAUGCGGUAUUAGCCACUCUUUCGAGUAGUUAUCCCUCACUUUAGGGUAUGUUCCCACGCGUUACUCAGCCGUCCGCCGCUCG
rnacentral:rRNA from 1 species